UGAUGUGUAUAGUUGUUUGCAUUGUAUUCAUUUCAAGAAGACGGGGGGUGGAAGGGGAUGGCUUCAACCGCGCCGGAGUUUCUACAAGCUUCUCUUGCCUUCAUCUCUCCUUUCUGCCCCGAUGCGCAGCCAACGCUG
rnacentral:ribozyme from 1 species